UUCUCACCAACUCCCUUUUUUUUGGCGUUGGAACACAUAUUCCCCAACUCUCAUUGAUGCCCUUCCAACCAACUCCAUUUUUUUUGUGGUCGGAGCACUCUCUCUGCAACUUUCAUUGAUCCCCUUCGUACCAACACCUUUUCUUUUAAUUUUUUAUUUAUUUUUAUUUCCCUAUUGGAGCACUUUCUCUCCAACUCUCGUUAAUCCACUUCCCACCAACUCCUUUUCUGUUCUUUCUUUAUUUUCUCCAACUUUAAAUUAGAGUACAGUUUCUUCCUCUAUUGUCAUGUUUGCUUGUACUUCUUUAAAUCUAUAGUAUU
rnacentral:lncRNA from 1 species